rnacentral:rRNA from 1 species
AUUGAACGCUGGCGGCAUGCCUUACACAUGCAAGUCGAACGGCAGCACGGGAGCAAUCCUGGUGGCGAGUGGCGAACGGGUGAGUAAUAUAUCGGAACGUGCCCAGUCGUGGGGGAUAACGCAGCGAAAGCUGUGCUAAUACCGCAUACGAUCUAAGGAUGAAAGCGGGGGAUCGCAAGACCUCGCGCGAUUGGAGCGGCCGAUAUCAGAUUAGCUAGUUGGUGGGGUAAAGGCCCACCAAGGCGACGAUCUGUAGCUGGUCUGAGAGGACGACCAGCCACACUGGAACUGAGACACGGUCCAGACUCCUACGUGAGGCAGCAGUGGGGAAUUUUGGACAAUGGGCGCAAGCCUGAUCCAGCAAUGCCGCGUGCAGGAUGAAGGCCUUCGGGUUGUAAACUGCUUUUGUACGGAACGAAACGGCCCUUUCUAAUACAGGGGGCUAAUGACGGUACCGUAAGAAUAAGCACCGGCUAACUACGUGCCAGCCGCCGCAGUAAGAC